rnacentral:rRNA from 1 species
AACGAACGGUAGCGGCGUGGAUUAGGCAUGCAAGUCGAACGUGAACCUUGCUUCGGUGAGGUGAAAGUGGCGAAAGGGUGAGUAAUGCAUAGCCAACCUACCCCCGACACUGGGAUAACCAGGAGAAAUCUUGGCUAAGACCGGAUAUGCUCGCGAAGAUGCAUGUUUUUGCGAGUAAAGGAGGCCUCUUAACAAUGCUUCUGGUUGGGGACGGGACUAUGUUCUAUCAGCUAGUUGGUGAGGUAACGGCUCACCAAGGCGAUGACGGAUAGCCGACCUGAGAGGGUNACCGGCACACUGGGACUGAGAUACUGCCCAGACUCCUACGGGAGGCUGCAGUCGAGAAUCUUCCGCAAUGGGGGGAAACCCUGACGGAGCGACGCCGCGUGCGGGAUGAAGGCCUCGGUUGUAACGCGUACGUCACACGUAUGAAGAAACGGAGUUAAAGAC